rnacentral:rRNA from 1 species
UACGUAGGGGGCAAGCGUUGUCCGGAAUCAUUGGGCGUAAAGAGCGCGUAGGCGGCCCAGUAAGUCCGCUCUGAAAGUCAGGGGCUCAACCCCUGGAUGCGGGUGGAUACUGCUGGGCUAGAGUCCGGAAGAGGCGAGUGGAAUUCCUGGUGUAGCGGUGAAAUGCGCAGAUAUCAGGAGGAACACCGGUGGUGUAGACGGCUCUCUGGACCGUAACUGACGCUGAGACACGAAAGCGUGGGUAGCAAACAGG